rnacentral:misc_RNA from 1 species
UAUUUUGACAGUACAGUAAACUUUGAUGUAGCUUGUAGGAGACUUUUGUGGGGUAAAUUUAUUAAUGCAGGUCAAACGUGUGUUGCCCCUGAUUUCGUGUUAUGUACAAAAGAUACUCUUGAGAAGCUAAUACCUGCCAUGAAAAAAGUCUUGAAAGAAUAUUUUGGUGAAAAUCCCAAAAAUUCUCCUGAUCUUGGACGAAUACUGAAUGAAAGACAUUUCAAUCGUUUAUUAGGUUUAAUGAAAGACGCCAAUGUAGCAAUCGGAGGUGAUCAUGAUAUUUCAAUAAAGUAUAUUGCACCCACUGUGAUGUCAAAUGUUAAACUGACUGAUCCUGUAAUGCAAGAUGAGAUAUUCGGACCACUUUUACCAAUAGUUACAGUAGAAAGUCUUGAUGAAGCUAUUGAUAUUAUUAACAGCAGGGAUAAAGCAUUGACUUUAAAUAUCUAUUCUAAAAAUCCAAAGACGAUUCGCAAAAUUAUCGAAGGCACAUCAAGUGGAAGUGUGUGUGUCAAUGAUUCGAUUGUAAACCUCUCUAAGCUCGAUAUCCACCUUAUUCAGAAAGCGGUGAAAAGUUUUUAAGAAGAUUGUUAAAGAAUAGACCUGGCAUUAUUCCUUCUCACAUGGAUUAUGUUGGAGUGUUCCUGAUUGGUUUUGCUUCUGCAAUUAUACUGAAAGUCAUACUACAUUUUGCUGGUGUCUCGUACUUUUAGCUUUCUGAUCAGAAAAUGUGUCUUGUGUCCAAUCCUUUUGGAAAAGAUAAAUUUUCAGCAUAUUUUAUUGUAUAAGAUCUUUUGUUUUUAAUUUGACAAAAUAAGAAUUAUAUGCUUACUUGACAAACAUUGCAUGAUGUUUUAUAUAAACUAUUAGCUAAAAUUUGUUGAAAUCAUUUAAUAUCAUGUUGAAGAUUUAGUUUAUUGCUGUGAUAUAAGCUCUUUAGUUAUUUUCCCUAAUUGUUGUGUAUAAUGUUGUCUAAAAGUUUUUCUUCUUCACAAUAUGUUUUAUUACAUAUGCUAGCGGCAUAAAUAUUUAUUACAAUGUUGUUAAAGCUAAUUCAUUGUAAUUAAAUAACAAUAUUUUUAUGAUUUUAAGAUAAGCAUGUAAAUAAACUGUAUUUUCUUUUUAAUAUCCAUUUUAAAAAAGUAUUUUGUUCUCUCCCAUUUUCUUUAUAUAUAUAUAUUUAAGCAAAUUUACAUAUAUGUGACAAUAAUUUAAUGGUAUUAUGUCAGUUUAAAGUUACAUAUUACAUUUAAUUUAAUCACAAUUUUAAUGUGCCAUGUAUAAUGUAUUAAAAUAAGAAUAUUAAGGUGCAAUUUGAUUCAGCUGACAACGUACAUUCUUAUUCGAAUCGCAAUAAUGAUGUUUAUGUGAUUAAAUAUAUCUAACUAGUAUACAUGAUUCAGUCUUUCUUUAUUGUAUAUAUAUUUCUAAUGUCUAAAAAUAUUUUUAUACUAUGCUUGUAUAAAUAUGUGCUCUUGUCUUUUUAUAUUUGAACACAAUAAAGGAUUAUAUCGAAA